GGCUGGUCCAAAGGUAGUGAGUUAUCUCAACUGAUUGUUCACAGUCAGUUACAGAUCGAACUCCUUGUUCUACUUUGCCCCCUUCUCACUACUGCACUUGACUAGUCUUAA
rnacentral:Y_RNA from 1 species